UAGAGCCAGCAAGAUUUGCUUUGGUUUUUUUAAAGCAGAAAACACCAAAAAGUUGGCUGUGGUUUCAGCUGCUAUCGCUGGAGAUUUGUACUGCUGACUACCAAUCCUAAAAGAGUUAACCUGUAUGUAAGUAUGACUCAGAAGCAGAGAAGGAGAUGCAAGGCUGAGAGCUGGGGAGGAAGCGCAGAAACAGAGGUGAGGAACAGAAUAAUUGCCAAAAAAAGGUGCAGAGUCCAGGAGCGACGUUCCCUCCGGUCUGCCUGGCCCUGGCACCGCUGGCACGGGCUCCCUGGAAAGCUGCAGUUCCGCUCUUAUAACACAAGGAGCAGGCUGGAGAAUUUAGAGCUGCGUCACAGAGCUCAGCGAGAGAGUGAGAGAGCAAGCUCCGUCGAUAGGUCUACCAGCAACAGCCCUGCUGCAGCAAGAGGGGAGAGAGGCAGCAAGAGAGGCAGAGAGGGCUCCAGGAAGAGAAGUGGCACCAACACCACGGACUGGGCUCCUGCCACCAUCCACUGCCAUUUGCACCUCGUACUGGGGCUCGCUUGGCGUAGGAGGCUUCGCCCAUUGACGAUGCUGGAGACCCGGCGCGCUUAAUCCCACGGGGAGGGAGAGUGGGCAGACACCGAAAGGGUUAACGGGAAGGAAAAUUCUGGAACCUUCUCUUCUGCGGCGCUCCAGAGCGAGCGGAGGGCUGAGGACUGCGCAGAUGGUGCACGGGCACGGCUCCUCGGUCCGGUUCGUCUCCCUCACCGCCCAGCAAUGAAGAUGGCAGCUCUGCCUGGAAGUGCUGAGGACACAGCCAGCCUUGAGCUUGGUCCUUCUGGCCGAGGAAGUCUCCCGAUUAUGCAGUGGAGUGGUAACUUUGCUUUCUCGUACAACAGGGGCCAUUCUUCCAUAGCCUUUCAUCAUUCUGAGGCUUACCCAAGUUUCAGGAUGUGCUAGCAGGAGUGUUUAAUCUCUGUUACUCACUGGCUGACAUCUCCAGCGUCAGGGCUGGUUGUUUAGCAACAACUGCGCGGCCGCCGUCCCCAUCGCCUGGGCUGCAGCCUGGCCCCUGCAGGGUGCUCUGGGAGACAGGGAGAGAGGGCAGGGCUGGAUUUACACCCCGGAUGGAAUUUUGGAGUUUGGUCGUGCAGGCCGCAGGCGCUGCGGAUUUUUCGCGACGCCGUCCUUUGCGCAGGGCCGCCAUUUCCAACGGCAGUGCGGCGCAGGGACGGGGAGGGAAGAACCCAACAGACUGUACGUGCCACUCCCCACUUUCUUUCCCUCUUUCCCAUCUCCAUCUUUCCUCCUUCCCCUCCUUUCCUGCCAGAUUCCAUAGGGAAUUUCAGCCUCUUACUGCAGUCAUCACAACCCCUCCUGACUCACUGAGCCUUCGCUGGCUGUAGCUGGCUCCCUCGGAGCAUCCUUGCCUCCCGCAGCGCCAGAUCCGCAGAGCAGGGGAACAACAGGAACAGCAGCGACAACGGUGGUCCCUGCAGACAGACAGACAGACAGACAGGCAUAAACACACACACACAUGAGAACAGUCCCAGGCAGCUGUGGAGUGGGGUCUGUACGGCCAGGAGCUGGACUAAGGCAUGGUGCUGGGCUGUGUGGAUGAUGGGUGGGUUGAGUCUGUUUUCCCGAGUGUUGGUUGCAUGGACAGCUCUUUGUGGUUUUCCCCAUCAUGGUUUUGGGGUGGAAAAGCCCUGACUUUGUAAAGCUGGUGCUGUUUCAUGGCUUUCAAGGAGGUGCCACUGGCUGCUGAGUGUGUUCAGUGCAGGGAUGUAUUUGGUUUAAUUUCUCUCGCCACCAUGUUUUGGCCACAGCGAUGGUUUAACUGUGCCCAAACGCAGGGAGGGUAGGGAGACGGAUAUAAGAGGAAUUAUUUCAAUGUUCAACUCCCGCAGUAAAUCUCAUUACUCAGGAAUUGAGGUUACUGUCAGCAGGUAAAUCUGUGGGACUGGCAGGAAACAAGGCUAAGAAGGGGACAUGGUAUAUUUCUGUAGGACAGCAGUGAUUGUGUGCACAGGGGUGGCACUGUCACCGUGAGCUGUACCUGGGUAACUGCUCCGUGAUCGUUUUCCGCACAGUGCCGCAAAAGGACUGGGGAAAGCUGUGAUUUCUCCCUCCCUCUGACACUUGUGUGUGUGACACUGUAUGAGCUGAUUCAUUUUCCUGUAUCUGGGUUUCCCUGCUCUGGGGAGUGGGGUUUGCUCUGCCUCGGCCUUGGUGCAGCACCGUGACGCAGCGUUCGGUACCACGCCGACAAAACACACGCAAUUUUCUCGGGCGUUCUGACCGCUCGGGGACCGCGGGAUUCGGGGAAGGAAGGGCAGGAUUUCACAAGCCCAUGGUAUAAAUUUAAAAGCAUUACCUCUUCUUGUCUGCUAGCGAAGGAAGGCUCUGUGAGGGACGAGACAGCCAUGAUCUCCUCCUGCUCUUGUUUUGCCGAUGGUCAUGUUACAUCUGUGACGCAGACGAAUUUUGCUUUUGGUUCCUGUCGGUGCUUUAGGGAGUGGAGCUGAUGGGGGCACAAGCUUGAAUACAGUUAGAAAUAUUUGUUUCAUACUGAUGUUAGAGCUGAAACUACACCUGAAGGGUCAGGGGUAUCAGGUCCACCUAGUGACCCCCCAAAUGGUGAAGGAAUUCGGGUGAGCCCAAGCACCCCUGGCCAUUUUGCUGCUCGCAGAGCAGGCUCGGAGCCUGCAGCUCUGCUGCUGCUGCUGUUCAUUUCCAUGUUAUACAAAUACAGCAUUGGGCUCUGUGUCAGGAGCUUUCUGAUGCUGUGAGAAGCUUAGAGUCUACAAGCAAAUGUUUUUCUUUUCUUAUUUGGGAACAUUCAUUAAAACGUCUAAAUGCCAAGUGUUCUACCCUCUCUCCUCUGACAAAUCUCUCCUAGACCUAUCCAGAAAAUUCAGUGCUGCUGCGUAGGAUUUUUUAAACUUUAUCAUGGUGUUUUCUUACAGUUUAAUAUGGGUAUGGCCGGGGGGGGAGAGUAAGAUUUAAUUUGGCUAAAUAUCUGUAAUGCUGAUGUUAAUGGACAAGGAUGUAAGCAAGAGAUAAGAGUUGUCCAUAUCUCCUUUAUCUCUGUAUUUAGACAGUCCCAGGCCCAGGCUGUGAGGAAAAAAGGGAAUACUCUAUCCCAUUCCCACCCACCCAAACAAUUUCAGUGCAAAGGCAGCAGGAGAAAAGGCCAAGCUGGAAUGUCACAAAAUGGUUCCACCAGCCCUCCGAGAUGCCAGUGCCGUUUAUCCUGGCACGGCUCCGAGAGCGGCACCGUGAGCUGCCUGCUGCAAGGUCAUUCCCCUGACUCAUGGUCAGCAACCAGUUUGGUUCAGGAACUCCCAAUCUACUUCUCUUGCAACUGUGCCCAUGCCUGAACCUGGAGGGGAGGCUUGAAAAUUAACAUUACUGCAGCAGUGGGGACACCGAGCCCAAAACUGUAGCUCCAAAAAAACCCCAUGUCUCUGAAAGACUUUAAAAUCCAUUUCUCUAAUUUGUUUCCUUGCUAGCUCCAAAAACUUUCCACUAGUUCCCUCAUCCCCUUUUCCCCCAAGACUUUCUCUGGACUGCUGGGAACCAGGAGUGACGUGUAUUUAAGGGCUCACACUCCGUUCUAGGACGAAAAUCUCUGUGUACAUUUGCAUUUCUGUGGCUAUCAGGUGGGCUCUGCAGGCUCCCCAGAGCCUGUCAAGCCAGGAGUGUCUCUCAGGUGCUUUCAGUUUCAGGUACCUCAGCUCAGGAGCUGUCUUGUCCCCUCCCAAGUUUCCCCAUUUUUCCUGGUGUUCCUAUUUGCCCAUCCCACUCAUAUUUUCAGCUGUCUCAGGACAACAGCAGCCAUGGGUAUACUCAGGGAUGGCUCUGGUUGUCUCAGCCUCCCAGGCAGCAGAGCAGUGGUUAAUGCCUCUGAGCAAAAGAACUUAUUUAGUGCCCAAAGUUCAACUUGGGGGCACAUUCUGUGGACAGAGAGGGACAGGAGAGCAGUGCAGGCCAAGCAGGGCCACCAGCAGAGCCCUCCUGCUCCCAGAGCUGCCAGCCCACCUCGCCAAGCCCCCAGCCUGACCCUGCCCACCAUGAGCCUUCGCCUUCCUCAUCAUCACUGCCUGGUUUCCAAAGGGACAGAACCUGGCUGCCAAGCCCGAUGCCAGUGACGGCUCCUCGCCUACAGGGAGGCAGAUGUGAUGGCUCGUCUGCUAAAAACUGAGCCAACACACUGUGAUUCAGCCCUCCAGCUUUCCAAGGAAGAGCUAUUUCUGAGUGAGGCUCAUCUCUGCAGCUCCCCCCACAAACACUCACGGCGCUCAGGAGUCCAACAGCAGCCACUGGGUUGGCAUUUGGAUCUCCAGCCCAAAUGUUCCUAACACACAGUGACAUUUCAGGGAUGGAAUGAUGGAAACCCUGGGAACAGGGACAGACCAGCAGCUCGUGUGCUGGGGGGUCAGCCAGGAGUGUUUGGUCAGUGCUUCUCUCCAGCUGUUUUGCCAGGUCCUUGUACUGCAGGCAGAGUUAAACUAAAGGCUUGUUUUCAGCUGCCUGGUUUAAAGGCAGGUUAUACUUCAGUGAACAUCUGGCUGGGUUUGUUUCCUUAUGCUCCUCCCUGGCACAGGACAUUCUUUUGUCUCUAGAAUGACACAAAAGAAAAA